GCGUCUUUGGUUCCUCCGCCACCAGCCCACGACAAAUGUAGAAACUGAACCAUCCCUGCCUUCAUUUUAAAUGUGUACUGCUAUGUGCUAUCGUCGUCUUGGCAGCACGUCCACCAGGAGAACCACUUCUUCCUCUUCGCAGAUCGCAAUGGUGGUCACUGUGGCAGCAGCCCUGGCGUGGCAGAGAAGGAUGAGACGCUCACGGAGGCCCCUCGCGUCUGGUCAUGUUCGCGGAGUCAGCGGCUUAAGGCAACUUGCUGCCAGCGAUCGAUGCUCGCGGUUUGUGGAGCUUGCAGAGGCCCCUCGCUGCCGGCGGCGCUCCUGUGCUCUUCUCCAAUAGGUCUGCGUCAUCCUUCUUAACUCAGUUUCGACCUCGGUUUCUUCCAUCCAACUCUCUCUCAUACCUAUGAAAGCUUUUCUAACUCUCAGAUUCACAAGAGCGCUGUGCUGAAUCCAUGGCUGGGGCAGCCUACUAGGACAGAUCAUCCAUGGUGGACACAAUAGAUCCAUGGCGGGGUGAGCUAGACUACGACGCGCAUGUGGAUGAGGCAGUGAAGACAAAUGUAUCCAUGUUCUGUAAAAAAAGUUUCUGUGUACUGUACAAUAAAUCUAUACUCCCUCACUCUCUUUUUAAUUGUCAGUUACGCUUUCAAAAAACAACUACCGACA
rnacentral:lncRNA from 1 species